rnacentral:rRNA from 1 species
UGAAAUCUGGCUCUCGGGCCCGAGUUGUAAUUUGUAGAGGAUGCUUUUGAUGCGGUGCCUUCCGAGUUCCCUGGAACGGGACGCCAUAGAGGGUGAGAGCCCCGUCUGGUUGGAUGCCAAAUCUCUGUAAAGCUCCUUCGACGAGUCGAGUAGUUUGGGAAUGCUGCUCUAAAUGGGAGGUAUAUGUCUUCUAAAGCUAAAUACCGGCCAGAGACCGAUAGCGCACAAGUAGAGUGAUCGAAAGAUGAAAAGCACUUUGAAAAGAGAGUUAAAAAGUACGUGAAAUUGUUGAAAGGGAAGCGUUUAUGACCAGACUUGGGCUUGGUUAAUCAUCUGGGGUUCUCCCCAGUGCACUUUUCCAGUCCAGGCCAGCAUCAGUUUUCGCCGGGGGAUAAAGGCUUCGGGAAUGUGGCUCUCUCCGGGGAGUGUUAUAGCCCGUUGCGUAAUACCCUGGCGGGGACUGAGGUUCGCGCAUCUGCAAGGAU